UACGUAGGGGGCGAGCGUUGUCCGGAUUUAUUGGGCGUAAAAGGCUUGUAGGUGGCCACGUCAAGUCGGAUGUGAAAUCUCCCGGCUCAACUGGGAGGGGUCAUUCGAUACUGGCGGGCUCGAGGUCGGUAGGGGGAAGCGGAAUUCCGGGUGUAGUGGUGGAAUGCGUAGAGAUCAGGAAGAACACCCGUGGCGCAAGCGGCCACCUGGCAGAGACCUGACGCUGAGGCACGAAAGCGUGGGGAGCGAACCGG
rnacentral:rRNA from 1 species